AGUGAACGCUGGCGGUAGGCCUAACACAUGCAAGUCGAACGGCAGCACAGGAGAGCUUGCUCUCUAGGUGGCGAGUGGCGGACGGGUGAGGAAUACAUCGGAAUCUGCCCAGUCGUGGGGAUAACGUAGGGAAACUUACGCUAAUACCGCAUACGACCUUCGGGUGAAAGAGGGGGAUCGCAAGACCUCUCGCGAUUGGAUGAGCCGAUGUCGGAUUAGCUAGUUAGCGGGGUAAUGGCCCACCAAGGCGACGAUCCGUAGCUGGUCUGAGAGGAUGAUCAGCCACACUGGAACUGAGACACGGUCCAGACUCCUACGGGAGGCAGCAGUGGGGAAUAUUGGACAAUGGGCGCAAGCCUGAUCCAGCCAUACCGCGUGGGUGAAGAAGGCCUUCGGGUUGUAAAGCCCUUUUGUUGGGAAAGAAAUCUUUCAGGCUAAUACCCUGGGAGGAUGACGGUACCCAAAGAAUAAGCACCGGCUAACUUCGUG
rnacentral:rRNA from 1 species